rnacentral:misc_RNA from 1 species
UUAAUUAAUUUUUAAUACUCUCUAGUAUUUGAUAUUCAAUAGCUAUAUUAAUAACAAUGCUAAACAGACCGAGGGUCUCUGCUUUUAGUUUGUUAGUGUUUCCUUUUAGUUUGUUAUCCUUUUGGUCCUUUAUCUUUGGUAGUGAAAAAUUUCCUUUUCAAAAGCUUUCUUAUUUUUGUGCUCCUUUGGAUAUAUGUUUUCGCUGAGUAUUUCUUGACUAUUCUUCAGGAUGUUAUCUCAGAUAUGCACUUUCAUCAUCUCAAACCCUAUUAAGUAUUUGUUAAGUUGAAAGCCAUUUAAUUUGUUUUUGGUAAUUCAAGCAUACACGUGUCUAUGGAUGCAUGUUAUCAUACAGGUAAUAAAUAGGUAAUAUUCCUACAUGUGAGGUUCAUUAUCUGCAGUUAAUAUCAACUGAUUGCUGUUCGUCUGUUGCAUUGAUUACUUCUAUGAACAUUUGAGGGUGUGCUUUGUGUCUAUCAUUUUCU